UCCAGACUCCUACGGGAGGCAGCAGUGAGGAAUAUUGGUCAAUGGCCGCAGGGCUGAACCAGCCAAGUCGCGUGAGGGAUGACGGUCCUAUGGAUUGUAAACCUCUUUUGUCAGGGAGCAAAGGGCGCCACGUGUGGCGUUUUGCGAGUACCUGAAGAAAAAGCAUCGGCUAACUCCGUGCCAGCAGCCGCGGUAAUACGGAGGAUGCGAGCGUUAUCCGGAUUUAUUGGGUUUAAAGGGUGCGCAGGCGGAAUGUCAAGUCAGCGGUAAAAUUUCGGGGCUCAACCCCGUCGUGCCGUUGAAACUGGCGUUCCUGAGUGAGCGAGAAGUAUGCGGAAUGCGUGGUGUAGCGGUGAAAUGCAUAGAUAUCACGCAGAACUCCGAUUGCGAAGGCAGCAUACCGGCGCGCAACUGACGCUCGUGCACGAAAGCGUGGGUAUCGAACAGGAUUAGAUACCCGAGUA
rnacentral:rRNA from 1 species